AGUGUCUUAAGGGCGUUCGGUGGAUGCCUUGGCGACAAGAGGCGAUGAAAGACGUGAUACGCUGCGAUAAGCUAUGGGGAGCUGCGAAUAAGCUUUGAUCCAUGGAUUUCUGAAUGGGGCAACCCACUCCGUAUGGAGUACCCGUAAGGGAGCAAACCCGGGGAACUGAAACAUCUAAGUACCCGGAGGAAAGGACAUCAACCGAGACUCCGCUAGUAGUGGCGAGCGAACGCGGACCAGGCCAGUGGCUAUAGAGUAAGAACCGGAACCGUCUGGAAAGUCGGGCCUCAGCGGGUGAUAGCCCCGUACGGGUAGAAAUCUUUAUAGUCCUCGAGUAGGGCGGAACACGUGAAAUUCUGUCUGAACAUGGGGGGACCACCCUCCAAGCCUAAGUACUCCUUGUCGACCGAUAGCGAACAAGUACCGUGAGGGAAAGGUGAAAAGUACCCUGAA
rnacentral:rRNA from 1 species